UUGGUUCUGUAAUGACAUUAGUCAUUCGGAUUAAAAGGGAAUAAGGUGAAAAUCCUUAACAGUCCCGCUGCUGUAAGUUCCAAAUAAGGAUUGUAACAGUAAGUCACUGUCCGAAAAGUGUAAGAAAACACCCAGUAAGGCGGGAAGGCGUUACAAUAGGAACAAAGUCAGAAGACCUGCCCGAUCAAA
rnacentral:ncRNA from 1 species